rnacentral:siRNA from 1 species
UGUUGGUGUGCUUUUACUUUA